CAUGUACUCCCUUCGUUCGGAAUUACUUGUCUCGGAAAUGGAUGUAUCUAGAACUAAAAUACGUCUAGAUACAUCCAUUUUCGCGACGAGUAAUUCCGAACAGAGGGAGUAGUAU
rnacentral:pre_miRNA from 1 species